UCGAUGAUCACUUUAUACAUCAUCACAAACUAUAGCUUUCCGCUGCCUCUGGCGUCUGCUCCGCGCCGCCCAUGGUCACAUGCCCGCGAGGAGCCGCGCCGGCGAGGAGGGCCGAGUUCCGCCCGACUUCCUUGGAGCGGAACCCGAGCCCACGCUCGCGAGGUGCGCCACAGGCCAGCGCACCCGAUCCCGGAGGCCGGAGAGGAGGAAGACGCCUGUGGCUCUGACGGAUCCCCCCCGGCUCCCCUGCUCUGUGGCUCCGACACGCCGCCGGCCCCGACCCCGAGGUCAGUGGCCUGGAGAUUUUCCUUUGCUUUUGGGAUUCGAACUGAUUACAAGCUAGCUUGCCGUGUUGAAUUUGCUUUGCUAUGUGAGAACUGUGCAACUGGCUAGGAUUAUAGUGUUGGUUUUCGAAACUACAUGGGGGGAACAGAAUGCAGGUUAAUGGGCAGAGAAAAUUAAUCAAGCUAGCUUUUUUUUGUGAGAAUGUACACAUGUUGAGAACUGGUGUGGCUGCUGGCUUCUAAUAAACAUCAAGGGCUGCACGUGCUUUUGGUCGAACGAUACCUUAUGAAAUUCUGUAGUAUACACAGUUUUAAAUAUUUUUAGUUAUAUUUCAGUCUAAAAAUCCAUGUAUGGCUUGUAGCACUAGAGAAAGAAAGUAGGGGAUAAUAAUAAUGUCAUGACAUGGUUUGUUGCUACGAGUGGUAUUCAGCAUUUUAGUCUUGUCAAUGACUUGCAAGUUUUCUUUUUAAUGUUUUGAUGGUGAUGUUUAUGUUCAAUUCUCUCUGUUUGGUGUACUGGAUCUGCUGCGACCUUUCAGUAUGAGGGAAGUAGGGAGCAGCCUACCUGUCGAGUGAGGAGAGUACACGGGUUCACAUUGCUUUAGGUUUAUAAAAUGCUGUUUACAUGGCCCAUUCCAAAUAAAACGGUUUACUGUUGUAUGCUGUCAGUUGUUGCAACUAGAGGAACUAGUACCAUUAUACAGAUUGAAAUUGUCCACUAUUUUCCCAUUUUUCAAAGAAAAAGGAGUCCAUAUCCCACACCCACAGUGAAACAAAUUGAAAGUAGAGUCAGAUAGAAGUAGGCUAUAACCAAGGGAAAGAAAACAGUCUACAAAGAUCAACAUUUGAGCAUAAUAUUUUUUUGAAGGCUCCUUAUAUGAAUGAUUUUGUUAUUUAUUGGAAUUGACAUUGUAGUUUAGACUUUAGAGGUUGUUAUUUAGUGAAAAUGGCAUGGUGUUGUUCAGUUAUGUGAAAUUUUGUUCUGUUCUUCAGAUUUCAAAAUUUCAGAGAAGGUUGGUCAUCUUGAUUUUUCGCAUACUGAAAGAUAGGUAAUAUGUGCUAUGAAAUGCAAAGUGGGAGGCCAGGAACGCAUGAUUGAACCACAUGUUAUAUAGAUGUCUAAAAUAUUCAGUUUAUUUCAUCAGUUGUUGCUUGAAAAAAGGGCAUCAUGCUUUGCAGUUUCUAACUAAGACUUGGAGUGUGUUGUAUUUUAACACUCGGGCUAGUAUAACAUCACUAAUUUGAUUGUAUCAGUCAUUAAUGUUUCAUAGGGAGUUCAAGUUAUUCUAAAAGGCCUCGAAUUUUUAGGUCAUCACACAAUUGGGUUAUGAUGCUUAGGGAGUUAGGGGUCACAUAAAAAACAUGUGGUGAUUCUGAACUAAACAUGCGGUGGUAGAAGCGAUCAUAUGUACUGUUAUUGACACUUAGUACUAUAGCCAGGGUUGGCACUUAGUACCGUUUCCAAGCACUAUACUAGGAAAAGCACUAAUACUUACUUGUCCCUGGCUACAUAUUUAUUUGAUCAACUGCCUUUUACAAAUCUUUUUCCAUACGCGAAGUCUGCUACAGAGGUACUAUAUGAAUUACAGUAACAUAGAUAUACUUCCCCAUGAGCACAGUGUUGAAAAUUCUUCUUUGAUGGCCAACAUUUCAGCAUAAACCUCCUCUGUUCUUGGCCGAUCCUUGGGUGACAUCUCAGAACAUUUUAGACCAAUAUUUGCGAGUUGCAUGGCACAGUGCUGCAUUUCAAUCAUUGCCUGUCCUCCGUCUUCACCUUCAUGAUAUACAGUGAGAUUUGGUUCUAAAAUGUUAUGGAUAUUCAGUGGAAGUGAUGACUCCACAAAGUUGCGGAUGUUUACUCCAUCCUUAAACAUGUCAUCAGUUGGUCGCCUUCCUGUAAUAAUCUCCAGAAGAAUAAUUCCAUAGCUGUAGAUGUCACCCUCAACUGAGAUUUUGCACCCCAUGCCAUACUCUGCAAUGUAGUGCAAAACUUAAUAAGAAAAUCCUCCACUUAACUUUUUCAGAAAAUUGGGAAAAAUAUAGAUAAGAUGCCAAAGCAUCAUUUACAGGACAAAUAUCAUAUACAGAAGUACAAUUCAUUCUGAUUAAAAUAAAAACAAGAGUGAAACAUGUGCUCACCUGGUGCAAUGUAUCCGAUAGAUCCUCUUGGUCCUACAGCACUCAAUGAGUUAUUGAAUCCUGUUGAAAAGUCAACAGAAAGAAACUUUGCAAGCCCGAAAUCACUGAGAGAUGCAACCAUUUCAUCAUUCAAAAGGACAUUGCUUGGUUUCAGAUCACGAUGUACCAAAGGAGGAGUGCAUCGAUUAUGAAGAUAGUCCAAUGCAGCAGCAAUAUCCACAGCUAUUGCUAUUCGUGUGCCUAAACUCAAUGGUCUUUUUGUGCUUUCUGUGCAGUCUUUCUGAUGGAGCCAGCUUUCUAGGUUACCAUUUACCAUGUACUCAAGAAUGAGUGCUUUGAAUUCACUUCCAGUUGGAUCAAAUGUUGAACAUACACUAAUCACUCUGAUAAGAUUCCGAUGGCGAAUGUUUCUCAAUGCCUCACAUUCAGAAAGGAAGUUACUUGGUGCUCCAAAUUGGUCGAGCCUGAAUACCUUUAUGGCAACUGCACAUUCUUCAACCUUGAAUUGACCUUUGUACACCAAUCCAAAUCUUCCGGAUCCAACAAGACUGUUAGGAGAGAAACCAUCUGUUGCUUUGAAUAAAUCACCAUAAGAGAAAUUCUUUAGCUCCUUUAAUGACUGGUUGGUUAGUUGCUUUCCUUUCCUUCUCUUCUUCAAAAUAAUGACAACAACACACGCCAUUGUGACUGCAGUCACACUAGCAAGUGAAACCAGAACAGCUAAAAUGUAGGCAUGCUUCUUUCUUUGGGGUCUUGAUGUCAAGCACUGUGGUACUUGUAGAUCUGGAGACGUUGCACACAACUUAUUGUUUCCUUGGAUGAACACAUCAUUUGGUCUAGCGAAGAUGCCACCUCCAGGGACAGGGCCCUCAAGGUCAUUGAAGGAUAGAUUUAGAAUCUGUAAAGAGCUAAGUGACUCCAAGAAUUGAGGAAUUCUACCAGACAAGUUAUUCUGGGAAAGAUCCAUCACAGUGAUGCCUUUUAAGUUGAUGAAAGAAUCUGGGAUGCUUCUGUGCAGAUUAUUUGCUUCUAAGUGAAGUGACUGCAGAAGAAGGCACUGACCAAGUGUGGAGGGGAUCUCUCCUGAUAAUUGAUUGUUGGAAAGACUAAGUGAAUUCAGAUUGAUCAAUCCACCAAUCUCAAACGGUAUGUCUCCAGUGAGUUUGUUGUUGGACAAGUCUAAGCCAACAGAAAGUGUAGAUAUCGAAAAGAGUUCCCGUGGAAUGCCUCCGUACAAGCUAUUGGAAGAAAGAUUGAGUGUUGUCAGUUGUUUGCAGCCCUCUAAACUAGAAGGUAUGAGCCCGGUCAAAUUAUUUUCGUUGAAAAGAAGUUCAGUAAGCUUCUCUAGCUUCCCAAUUGAUCUUGGGAUUUCUCCAGAAAAUUGGUUUUUGGAUAUGGUCAGAAUAGACAUGUUUUGGAGGUUCCCAAGCGUGUCUGGAAUUUCCCCUGAAAGAAAAUUAUUAUCUAACUGAAUUACCGUGAGAUUCGUGAACUUUCCUAUCUCUGAUGGUAUAGAACCUGUGAAUUGGUUAUGUUUUAGAACCAUGAUCUCUAAGCUUUUUGGGAUAUUGGUGAUAUAAGUAGAUAUUGUACCUUGGAGGUUGUUUCUAUCUAACCAUAAAUUCUUUAACUGUGUGCAGUUGACUAGAGAGGACAUGAAAGACCAAUCUCCAGCUUGAAGCCUAUUUGCACCUAGAUCUAGGUAACUCAACAAGGUCAGGGAUCCCAGUGAAGGAAUAACACCUGU
rnacentral:lncRNA from 1 species